UGUAAACUCAUUGAUUGCAUGUCUCCUUUCUCUCUCCCCUCCCCUGUCACGAGAGAGAAUGAAAAUCAAGCUUUGAUUUUCUCUUGACGAUUUUUCUGAGAAAACAAAGCUCUCCUGCUGAACUUUCUCUCCAUAUAUUUUACUUUCCACAAAAAUUUGUGAAGUCGCAAUCUUUUAUUUUAACUCCUUUGAUGCUUUGUUUGCUUCUCAAUGUCUAAAGAAACAAAUUUAAAAUCUCGAUUCAUUGAUAAAAAGUUCAUUAUUUUAAUGACUCACUGAUUUUUAUGAGAGAUCCGACCAAACCUGAUAUCUGAUUCUGUGAAAAACGGCGGUGGAUCCACUUCUGAGAGAUUUAGAUGGGAAGAAGGAGAGUUUCCGGCGUAACGUGGUGUCUAUGGCGGCUGAGCUUAAGCAAGUGAAAUGCCGUUUGUUUUCUCAAGAACAAUUCUUUGCUAAAGAAUCCUUUCUAGAAACAUAAGCUCCUAUGUUUAUUCUUUGAUUGAUUUUUUUCCUUUUUUUUUGUGUUGCUGCCUUUGUUUGUACCUUUGUAGGGUCAGUUUUGUGUUUAUUUGUUUGUCAUGUGGGUUUUUGUUUUCUCCAGGAAGCAGAGAAAAAAUGUUAAAUC